AGAGUUUGAUCCUGGCUCAGAUUGAACGCUGCGGCGUGCCUAACGCAUGCAGGUCGAGCGGUAACAGGCGUAGCAAUACGUGCUGACGAGCGGCGAACGGGUGAGCAAUGCUUCGGAAUCUGCCCAGUGAUGGGGAAUAACCAGUCGAAAGAUCGGCUAAUACCGCAUACGCCCUUCGGGGGAAAGCGGGGGAUCGCAAGACCUCGCGUCGAUGGAUGAGCCGAAGUCGGGUUAGCUAGUUGGUAGGGUAACGGCCUACCAAGGCGACGAUCCGUAGCUGGUCUGAGAGGACGACCAGCCACACUGGGACUGAGACACGGCCCAGACUCCUACGGGAGGCAGCAGUGGGGAAUAUUGGACAAUGGGGGCA
rnacentral:rRNA from 1 species